rnacentral:rRNA from 1 species
UGCCAGCCGCCGCGGUAAUACGAAGGUCCCAAGCGUUAUUCGGAAUCACUGGGCGUAAAGGGAGCGUAGGCGGCGUGGAAAGUCAGAUGUGAAAGCUUGGGGCUCAACCCCGAAACUGCAUCCGAUACUCCCACGCUAGAGGACUGGAGAGGUGUUUGGAAUUCUCGGUGUAGCAGUGAAAUGCGUAGAGAUCGAAAGGAAGACCAAUGGCGAAGGCAGAACACUGGACAGUACCUGACGCUGAGGCUCGAAGGCUAGGGGAGCGAAAGGGAUUAGAUA